rnacentral:tRNA from 1 species
GCCCAGGUGGCGGAAUUGGCAGACGCGCUAUCUUGAGGGGGUAGUGCCCGUAAGGGCGUGCGGGUUCGACUCCCGCCCUGGGCACCA